rnacentral:lncRNA from 10 species
UUAAAAUAUCUUACUGUAUCGUUCACUCUUCUUGUGAAGACGUGGAAUGACACGGUGCCUACGUGAUAAGAGGAAGUGAGGUGAUGGCGUAAGAAUUGUGAAGUAGCGUUAGGCUACUACUGACCUCCAGACAUUAUCAGAAGGAUCAGGUCAUCUGCUCCAAGUGAUCCUGGACCACCGAGCCAUGAUGGUGUUGAUGGCUGGAUGUCAGUAGUGGACUUUGUUGAUGACUAACAGGUACCUACAAAGUCCCCUGAACAAAGCAGCAGAAAUCGACUAAGAUGGGGCCUGGCGUGUGCUCCCGCUGCUCUGGAAGUCCAAACUGGAUGGAAGAAUAGCGCUGGUUCCCUGGAAGGCUGCUAAGCCCCCUGCACCCCCUCCUCCAGCACAGGCUCGGCUGCCUCUGGCUAUCCCACCGCCAAUCUCCUCACCUCCAAUCUGUCCCCUCCACCUGUUCUCACACCCCAGCCAGAGGGACCUUUCUGAAAUACCUAUGUGACCUCUCCGGCCCUCCUCUGCUCUCCAUCCCCCUCAGGCAAAGGCUGGCUUCUCUGCCCAGCCUUUCAGAAUCUUCCGGCCCGGCCCUGACAGCUCCCUCACAACUGAGGGAGGAAGGCGGCUGCCCCUCCAGCUCCCCAGGGCCCAAGCCAGGCCCUCACACUCGUCACUCACUGCAUGCUCCUCUCCCCAUGAGGCCUCCCCAGGGAACACAAUGGAAAGAAAUGACCUAUUUUCUGGAAGUCCAAAAUAAGAUGAAACAUCUGUCUGGAAUGGGGCCAGGCUGAUAAAGAACGGGCUGAUCUCCCCAGCCCGAGCCCCGCUCUCCUGCAGCAAACACCCCCUCACCCGUCAGAGUGCCUGUGCUUGGGGGUGGGGGCAGCGAUGCGGCUGGCUACUUGGAACAGUGCGUGGGAAAGCGCUCAGUGUGUGCCUCACGGCUGCUGGGGGCCCAAGGGAGGGGGCCUGGGUCCCCAGGAAGGCUGGGAAGCAGCCUGAGAAGGAGGUCAGUGAGGGAGGGAGGCCUGCUGCACACCCCUGCCCACCGGCUGCAGAGCAAGCACUUCCUGCCUCCUGCGGUGCCUUGAGGGUUACCCCCAGGGCCCUGUGGAUUCCUGGCCCUGAGUCCCCCCACCCACCCCGGCCCCAUCUGGGCCUCCAACAGCCUUAAAAAUAACAAUAAUAAUAAUAGCUACCUCUGAUUUAGUACAGUUGACCCUUGAACUACACAGGUUUGAACUGUGCAGGUCCACUAACACGUGAAUGUUCCACACAUGUGAAACAUCCACCUCCUUCCCACCCUUCCACUCCUCCACCUCUUCCGCCUCUGCCACCCCUGAAAGCAAGGCCAACCCUUCCUCUUCCUCCUCCUUCCCAGUCUACUUAACGUGCAGACAAGGGUGAAGACUUUUUCAGUGAUCUACUUCCACUUAAUAUAAACUGAAUGUAUUUUCUCUUCCUUGUGAUUUUCUUUCAUCUAGCUUACUUUAUUGUAAGAACAUAGUAUAUAAUAUACAUAACAGACAAAAUAUGUGUUAAUUGACUUUACAUUAUCAGUAAGGCCCACAGUAGGCUGGCUAUUAGCAGUUAAGUUUUUGGGGAGUCAAAAGCUAUACAUGAAUUUUCAACUUUGCAGUUGGUGGCUGUCCCCAGCCCCCUCAUUGUUCAAGGGUCUGCUGUACUUAUCACCCACUAUCUAUGCUAAGCUCCUUAUAUGAAUGAUCUCACCAAGUCCUCAGAACAAUCCCAUGACAUCAGUACUGCUUCCUCAUUUUACAGAUGUGGAAACUGAGGCACAGACUGUUUACAUUGUUUGCCCAAAAGCUUGCCAGUGGUGUCUCCAGUGUUUAAUACUGGGCAGACAGGCUCCAGAGCACACAGCCCAAUGCCCAUGAGACAGCCCCUCUGUGGCAGGAGGCAAAGAUAAGGAGCCCCGCAAAAAGGACAGCCCAGUACCUGGCACAGAACAAGCUCAAAUAAAAAAAAAUAAAAGUUAAUUAGCCAGGCGUGGUGGAGGGAGCCUGUAAUCCCAGCUUCUCGGGAGGCUGAGUCAGGAGAAUUGCUUGAACCCGAGAUCGCGCCACUGCACUCCAGCCUGGGCAACAAGAGUGAAACUCCGUCUCAAAAAAAUAAAUUAAAAAAUAAAGUCGUC